rnacentral:piRNA from 1 species
UUUAGAGAGUGGACCCCUCAUGAAUGAGGUUU